rnacentral:rRNA from 1 species
UACGUAGGGGGCAAGCGUUGUCCGGAAUUAUUGGGCGUAAAGAGCUCGUAGGUGGCUUGUCGCGUCUGCCGUGAAAGCCCGUGGCUUAACUACGGGUCUGCGGUGGAUACGGGCAGGCUAGAGGCUGGUAGGGGCAAGCGGAAUUCCUGGUGUAGCGGUGAAAUGCGCAGAUAUCAGGAGGAACACCGAUGGCGAAGGCAGGUCUCUGGGCAUUAACUGACGCUGAGGAGCGAAAGCAUGGGGAGCGAACAGG